rnacentral:rRNA from 1 species
AUGUUACAAAGCGUGAUGAGAGGUUCUCUCAUUGAGAUGACUGGCCCUAAGAGGGGCAUUAAUAUGCUCGGUGAUGUUCUAGUUGAGUUUGACAUGAGGAUCAAGACAGGAGGGCAAAAAGAAGAUGAUGAUCUGCAACUUAUCGACGGUGUAGUAGAGUACAGCAAAGCAAAUGCACCUUUUCGUCCAUUCACAGAGCGCAUUAAUGGUAAUUGUGGUGCAGUUGACAUCACUUUAGCACAAGUUCCUGAUGCAGUGGAGGCCACAAUAGAUGUUGUCAUAUCAAAAAUGCAGAGUGGAUUUGAUUUAUCUCUCAGCUCGUUUGUGUUUAUUGGUGGGUCACAUAAGGAGAUUGAGCUCUUUUGCGGUAUUAUUGGUGAGUCAUGUGGUUUAACAAGAAGGCAUGUGAUUGCUAUACAGGAGGAUACUUGGAUGUAUUUGAAGUUCAAGGUAGGUCAGAAAGGCUCUAAUUAUAAUGAUGUAGAACGGUAUUGUCAGUUCAAAGCAAACAUUCAUGGAUGUGCCUAUCAAGAAAUAAUGCUUAAGCAUGCCUCUAUCUGGGUGAAGGUGACUUAG